AAGACUAUAGACCUGCGGAGUACCUGCGGAAGGAUCAUUAUUGAAUAAAUUUGGUUGGGUUGUUGCUGGCUCUUAGGGGCAUGUGCACACUCACGCCAUCUUUAAAACCACCUGUGCACCUUGUGUAGAAGUGUUCGAUUCAACCUUUUGAAGCGCCCGCUUCGGCACAGACGUUAACUCGUCUGAAUGGCGUUGAUUAUUUCUGGUUGACGAAGCCAGGUGUCCUUCGGGAUGCUCACA
rnacentral:misc_RNA from 1 species